rnacentral:rRNA from 1 species
AAACGACUCUCGGCAACGGAUAUCUUGGCUCACGCAUCGAUGAAGAACGUAGCAAAAUGCGAUACUUGGUGUGAAUUGCAGAAUCCCGUGAACCAUCGAGUUUUUGAACGCAAGUUGCGCCCGAAGCCAUCCGGUUGAGGGCACGCCUGCCUGGGCGUCACG